GUCACAGAGCCGUCCUUCAUUCCGUGAGACUUAAUGCCGCUUUUGCCAGUUGUCACACUAGAAUAAACGUCAAGCACGGCUGAAUUCUUGUUAUUUCUGGGGUCCAAAAAUCUGGAGCAACCUCACUUGUCAAGCAAAACAAUGCAGAUCAGUAAAUAUGUUCAAAAAGAUUGUAAAGGACAAUAUCCUCUCUCAAAAAGCAGCUAUUGAUUUAUAGAUAUGAUUCUACUUUAUUUCAUCAAAUCAGCCACAUGUAAAUUUAAUAAUAAGGAUUCCUUGGUCAAAUCAAGAACAUUCAUAUAUAUUUUAGUAGAGACGCUACUUAGUCUGCGACAGGGGUCUACACUUCAUAAGCAUUGUGCUUUUAGUAGACUCCUCAUCAUCACUAUUUUUUGCAUUAUUAUCAUUAUACUAUUAUUUGGUGAAAUAAACUUGAUUGAUUAAU